UCUCUCCCUCCCUCUCUAUACUUCUCCGUCGGUCCUCAAACCCUAACUCAGGUUUCAAGGACAGAAGUUUCCGGCGAAACUCCGACGAAUAUUCUGAACUAAAGAGAGAUUCAUCUUGAGUUCUUCAUCGAAGUAGACGGCGAAGUGACUUUUGAUUUGGAGCACGAGAUUACUAACGACAACGAGGGUUUCAGAGUAUGAGGAACACAUGGAGUCGAAGGAGCUAUAAUCCAUCAUCAACGGAAACUUCGAGAAUCUCAUCAUUACCAUCGGAGCACAACGUACGGUACAAUAUGAAAAGGACAUAAACUGUAAAUAUUAUAUGGACCCUAUGACAUGAUGAUCAAAGGCCAUUAUAGCAGAUACCAAAGCUAAAACGCGAAACCCUAGAUGAUGAGAACAGAUUUUAUUUUAAUAUGCUCCUUAGUAUAACCGAGACGAGAUGAGAUCCCUCUCUUGAUCACCGAUGGAAAGAGAGUGCUCAGCCAAAGCACCGUCCCGAACCACCAGAGGAUUCGGAACGUUCUUCGGCCUCCAAACGAGACAGCAUGCGACGAAACGCCCUUUCCUUGCAGGGGAUGGUCAGGAUUUCCAUGGGCGGUGGACCAUCGGAGCCGUACUUUUCCACCAAAGCUCCGUUCAGGAACAGCAAGAACGAAGGGCGGAAAAUGUACGGUAUCGGAACGACGAAUCUCUUCCUCUCCUCGUGUUCUCCUACAACAUACACCGGGAGAUGUCCCUUUGGGACAUCAAAUUCGGAAGAUGAGGGUCGGAUCCUGUUCCUUGUGGGACGUGUUUGGAAGUUGUGCUUUGCAUUGAAGCUGCUGAAGCACCCCUUCAAACCCAUCCUUUUUUUUAUCAAACAAAAAAAAA